rnacentral:misc_RNA from 1 species
GGAAGGAUCAUUACUGUGAUAUACUUUCCACACUGCGUGCGCGUAACAAACCCCUAAACAUGAAUAACCCAGUCAAGAAUCCAUAAGAAUAAAACUUUCAACAACGGAUCUCUUGGUUCUCGCAUCGAUGAAGAGCGCAGCGAAAUGCGAUACCUAGUGUGAAUUGCAGCCAUCGUGAAUCAUCGAGUUCUUGAACGCACAUUGCGCCCCCUGGUAUUCCGGGGGGCAUGCCUGUUUGAGCGUCGUUUCUAUCUCACGCAAGUGGAGCUGGCCCGGCCUUGGCCCCGCCGAAAAGAAACGAGGGCGAAGCGAACUAUGUUGUGCGCCGACCCCAGCUAUCAAGCUCGACCUCAAAUCAGGUAGGAAUACCCGCUGAACUUAAGCAUAUCAAUAAGCGGAGGAAAAGAAACCAACAGGGAUUGCCUCAGUAGCGGCGAGUGAAGCGGCAAGAGCUCAGAUUUGAAAUCGCCUCGGCGAGUUGUAAAUUGCAGGUUGGAGUCUUUGUGGCGGCGUGUGUCUAAGUCCCUUGGAACAGGGCGCCAUUGAGGGUGAGAGCCCCGUGCGGCACGCGCUUAAGCUUUAAGACCCUUCUGACGAGUCGAGUUGUUUGGGAAUGCAGCUCUAAGUGGGUGGUAAAUUCCAUCUAAGGCUAAAUACUGGCGAGAGACCGAUAGCGAACAAGUACUGUGAAGGAAAGAUGAAAAGCACUUUGAAAAGAGAGUGAAACAGCACGUGAAAUUGUUGAAAGGGAAGGGUAUUGGGCUCGACAUGGGGACUGCGCACCGUUGCUUCUUGUAGGCGGCGCUCUGUGCGGUUUCUGGGCCAGCAUCAGUUUUUGCCGCGGGAGAAUGGGGGGAGGAACGUGGCUCUUCGGAGUGUUAUAGCCUCUCUCAGAUGCCGCGAGCGGGGACUGAGGUCUGCGAUUCGUUCAAGGAUGCUGGCACAACGGCGCAAUACCGCCCGUCUUGAAACAUGGACCAAGGAGUCUAACGUCUAUGCGAGUGUUUGGGUGUGAAACCCCUACGCGUAAUGAAAGUGAACGUAGGUCGGACCCUUCGGGGGCACGAUCGACCGAUCCUGAUGUUUAUCGGAUGGAUUUGAGUAGGAGCAUAGCUGUUGGGACCCGAAAGAUGGUGAACUAUGCCUGAAUAGGGUGAAGCCAGAGGAAACUCUGGUGGAGGCUCGUAGCGGUUCUGACGUGCAAAUCGAUCGUCGAAUUUGGGUAUAGGGGCGAAAGACUAAUCGAACCAUCUAGUAGCUGGUUCCUGC